CAGCCGCCACGGUAAAACGUAGGUCCCGAGCGUUGUCCGGAUUUAUUGGGCGUAAAGCGAGCGCAGGCGGUUAGAUAAGUCUGAAGUUAAAGGCUGUGGCUUAACCAUAGUACGCUUUGGAAACUGUUUAACUUGAGUGCAGAAGGGGAGAGUGGAAUUCCAUGUGUAGCGGUGAAAUGCGUAGAUAUAUGGAGGAACACCGGUGGCGAAAGCGGCUCUCUGGUCUGUAACUGACGCUGAGGCUCGAAAGCGUGGGGAGCAAACAGGACUAGAUACCCGAGUAGUCCCUGUCUCUUAUACA
rnacentral:rRNA from 1 species